rnacentral:rRNA from 1 species
UACGGGGGGAGCAAGCGUUGUUCGGAUUACUGGGCGUAAAGGGCGCGUAGGCGGCCACCGCAAGUCGACUGUGAAAUCUCCGGGCUUAACCCGGAAAGGUCAGCCGAUACUGCGGGGCUAGAGUGCAGAAGGGGCAACUGGAAUUCUCGGUGUAGCGUGAAAUGCGUAGAUAUCGAGAGGAACACCUGCGGCGAAGGCGGGUUGCUGGGCUGAUACUGACGCUUGAGGCGCGAAAGCCAGGGGAGCGAACGGG